UACGUAGGUGGCAAGCGUUAUCCGGAAUUAUUGGGCGUAAAGAGCGCGCAGGUGGUUAAUUAAGUCUGAUGUGAGAGCCCACGGCUUAACCGUGGAGGGUCAUUGGAAACUGGUUGACUUGAGUGCAGAAGAGGGAAGUGGAAUUCCAUGUGUAGCGGUGAAAUGCGUAGAGAUAUGGAGGAACACCAGUGGCGAAGGCGGCUUCCUGGUCUGUAACUGACACUGAGGCGCGAAAGCGUGGGGAGCAAACAGG
rnacentral:rRNA from 1 species